UGCUGUUUUAAUUUAAUUAAUUGUGAAUUUAAGUGAUUGUAUUUAUAUUCCCAUUUAUGUGUCUUAAUAUCCAUGUAUAUGUAUUUUUAUUUACUGAAUUGAAAUGCAAGACUUGUUGGCUGAGUCUAUAUUGACUGGUACCUAUGUUAUUGCAGAUCAGAUUAGAGAUCAGGUGCUUCUCACUUUUAAGGAUACAUUAAGAGCUUGGCGUAUGGUCCAAAAUAUGAAGCUCCGUUGGAAUGCCAAGAAACAAUGAUAGACUGCUUGCAGCAGGAUUCCACUGGCUGCUCCAUAGAAAGUUGUAGUGGUGCUUCUGGGAUUCUUUUUCCAGGGCUUUAGCUACAGAUCUACUUGAUUACGCAUCUUGAAGCCAAUAUUUUCUGUAAUCAUGGAGUCUGAAAGUUCAAGUGAGGCAUCGUUGGAGAAAUCAAUGGAGAAUGCGCUGCACGUGCAAAAUUCAGAUAAUCCAGGUUUAAUCUUGGUAAGUGCUCCUCUAAAUGGUACAAAUUAUUUGACUUGAAGUAGAGCUAUGAAGAUCGCUUUGUGUGCAAAAGAUAAGAUAGGGUUUGUUACUGGUGAAAUUGUGACGCCCCUUACCCGUCUAUAGUGUAGCCGAGUAAAGUGUGCU